rnacentral:rRNA from 1 species
UACGGGGGGGGCAAGCGUUGUUCGGAAUUACUGGGCGGAAAGGGCUCGUAGGCGGCCAACUAAGUCAGACGUGAAAUCCCUCGGCUUAACCGGGGAACUGCAUCUGAUACUGGAUGGCUUGAGAUUGGGAGAGGGAUGCGGAAUUCCAGGUGUAGCGGUGAAAUGCGUAGAUAUCUGGAGGAAUACCGGUGGCGAAGGCGGCAUCCUGGACCGACAUUGACGCUGAUGAGCGAAAGCUAGGGGAGCAAACGGG